rnacentral:rRNA from 1 species
AUGCCGCUGAGUACGACUACGUCACCGACGACCCUUCUUCCUGUACAACAGAGCUUCCAGGAGCUAGAGAUCCCGAGGAUGAUUCUACGUGGAGUUCGGCUUCGAGGAGUAGUUAGGAGGUCCCAGGCAGGAGGCCUUGCCUUUUUGAUCGUUGCUACUUUUGUGCUAGCCUUCUUAAGGCAAACUUGUUUAACUUAUGUCUGUACUCAGAUAUUGUUGCUUCCGCUGACUCGUCUAUGA